GACGAACGCUGGCGGCGUGCCUAAUACAUGCCAGUCGAACGCUGAAGGAGGAGCUUGCUUCUCUGGAUGAGUUGCGAACGGGUGAGUAACGCGUAGGUAACCUGCCUGGUAGCGGGGGAUAACUAUUGGAAACGAUAGCUAAUACCGCAUAAUAGUAGAUGUUGCAUGACAUUUGCUUAAAAGGUGCAAUUGCAUCACUACCAGAUGGACCUGCGUUGUAUUAGCUAGUUGGUGAGGUAACGGCUCACCAAGGCAACGAUACAUAGCCGACCUGAGAGGGUGAUCGGCCACACUGGGACUGAGACACGGCCCAGACUCCUACGGGAGGCAGCAGUAGGGAAUCUUCGGCAAUGGACGGAAGUCUGACCGAGCAACGCCGCGUGAGUGAAGAAGGUUUUCGGAUCGUAAAGCUCUGUUGUAAGAGAAGAACGAGUGUGAGAGUGGAAAGUUCACACUGUGACGGUAUCUUACCAGAAAGGGACGGCUAACUACGUG
rnacentral:rRNA from 1 species